GGCUCCGAGCCGAGCCCUCGGGAGGGGAGCAGGAAGGAGGCAGGGCUCCACCCCAGGAAGGGCAGCUGUCCUCUGGAUGGAGGAUGACCCUGAGCUGGAAGGAGCCUUGUGAGCAGGCAUCCAGCCCUCUCACUCGUGGACGGGAGACAAAAGCACAGAGAAGGGAAGGGACUCCUCCAAGUUCAUGUGUCUCUUGGCGGGGGGCACAGGCGAGGUUUCAUCCACAGCAGCAUACGGCCUCCGUUUAAUUUAGCUAACCACAGCAGACCAGCAAGCCGGUGACCAAGGCCAAGCCAGACCUCGCUGAGCUCCUUUCAUGAAAGCAAAAUGGAAGCGCGUUCCCAUCACUGCCAGAUGAGGACAGUUGCAGAUCAGCCAUGGGGAUGUUCACAGAGCAAUCCAGAAGAGAGAGCACCCUGUCUCCUGUUGGCCACCAAGUCCGAACUGCUCUACCCAGAGCAAAAAGUUACUGAUGAUUCCAGCUACUCACGUCUUGGGGGCUAACACUCCAAGCUACUUCACAGUCACCAUGAACACCGUCGUCAUAACCAUGACAGCCGCUCAUCACACAGUUUUUAUUGCUCUGCUCCAACUGCAUGCGCCCCAGUCCGCACAAGCCUCGCCAUAACCUCACGGUACAGACAAGGAAACUCAGAACUGAGAAUACCCACUGGAUGGGAUGGUCAUGAAGAUGGGAAGGAAUCCAUGUCUGAGACUCGUGAGCUGGGGCGUGUGGCAGAAGUGACGCAAAGACACCGGACACAUCACGGCAGAGCUUUCCACUGCUCAGCUUCACUCAACCACUUGGGCAAAAUGAGUUCCUUUUACAUUAAGAAUCAGAGAGGAUUCUGGAGAAGGACGAAAAGCUGGCAUUGCUUUUAAAAGAAAAAAAAAAAGAAAAGAAAAAAAGAAAGAGGAAUCUCUAUCCAGCAGGGAAAAAGGAAAGAGAGGGGAUCCCAUUGCCUCUGGAGCAUAGGCGCUGUGUCGUCCCAGGCAUUUCUUGCUUUCUGGGAGUCCCGUCUAUGAUUCUCUCAGACCCACAAAAUGCACAGCCUACUUUGCUUAGAAGGUGCUUCUGGGACGGGCUGGUGAGGACGUAGGAAGGUCAGGGGCCUGGCACGUGGCAGGUCCUCAAUAAAGGGUAGCGGGGGUGUUCCCCUGGGGUUGUCGCGGGGGAAGAGUUUAAAGCACGGCACGAUGGUGAGUGAACCUGUCCGGCUGACGGAGCCUAUGAGUGGUAUUGCCUCCUGAGCUCCCUUGAGAGAGGCAGAGUUCAGGGGUGGGAAGCACAUGGGUCUGGAGUGCAGGAGACUUUGGUCUCCGCUCCACUGUCACAAGCUGGCUGUGUGUCCUUGGACGCGACACUUCACGUCUCUGAGCCUGGGUUAACUUACCUACCAAAUGCAAACAAAUGUCCUAAGGAAGGCUUCCUUGCAGGGCUCUGUGCAGAUGACGCAGGACCAAGUGGGUGGAGGUGGAGGAGGGGAUAAAGAAGCCUCCAGAUGCUCUUUUACGAUCAGGGCUCCCAGCUGCAGCUCAGUGCAGCUGGGUGAGCAGGUAAAGCACUUUGUGAACAGCUGACCACAGUCUCCGCAGGAGCCCUGCUGCCCGCUCGGGAGCUGAAGACCAGGAGGCCGAGGCACUAAGUGACUUUCUAAGAUCCGGGGCCAGAGGUGGGGGAGCUGGGCCCGGAGCCCCUGACUCUCAGCUGCUGCUCUCCCCUCCCACCAUGCUCCUUCUCCCUCGUCAGUGUGGCCCAAAGAUGAAAGGAGGGGCCUUGGUAGGCGACGAGCUCCCAGCACCUCCAGUGCUCAUUCAGAGGUUGGCAAAGAUGGGAGUGUGAAAUCCAAGCCCUGGGGAUGCUCCAACCUACUGAUCUCUGAAACACUGCUCCUGAUUCCUCAGAUUCUGGGACUCUAGCUGGCUAUCAGAUCGGGAGAGGAUGCCAAGGGCUCCGAUUUCACAGUACUCGCUAGGUUUGCUUAUGGCACGGCGCUUGACUUUUCCGCAGAGCCUUGUCCAGCACUCGGCACCCACUAAGUGCUCGAUGAAUACUUGGUGAUGGUUUUGCCGAAGUGGCCCUGGAAGCUGCUGUCCACCUGGGACAAGCCCUUUGGGACUCAGCCAGUGAGGCCACCGACACUUACUGGGUGCCUCCUGUAUACUGAGCAAGGAGAUGCCUCAGCACGUUGUCCUUACUGGACAGCAGAGAAGCUCUCGAUGCUUUGUCCCCAGACCCCAGCCCUCAAACCCCGGGGAGCCUCUCCCUCCGUCUUCAGGAGCGUCCUUAGCUGAAAGCCCAGGGCUGAGCCCGGCCCUCAUCCCUGCUCAGCCCUGCCUCUCCCUGGCCCGCUGAACCCCAUGCCACCCCUCCAGCAGAGCUCUUUGGGGCUGCUCUCUGCACAAUGGCCAUCCGGAGGGAGCUGUGUGUCCGGUCCCUCCUUGGCCAGAGGCAAAGUCCAGACCCUUCCUCCACCCUCACGGGCCUCUCGCCCACUCCUGAAUCUCCACUUUGAAAACUUCUCAUGCACACGUGAUCUCCAGGCCACAGCCACACACCCACCCCCGCUUCCCCUCCCUGUCCGGGCUGCCCCUCCCACAGGCCCCAGCCUACCCAUUUCCUCUGCCCUUUUCACCCUUUGGCGCCAGAACCAGCUAUUCUGAGCCUCUGGCCCAGCUCCUUCUCCCUGCCAGCUGCUCCCUUACUGGGGCCUCCAUGUUUGCCUCUUUGGAGUUGACUGUUCCUCAGCCCUGCCAAAAAAAAAAAAGUACCCUGAAGGCAUGUGGCACUAGGAUAUGGGGACAGCAAAGGCAGUGGGACCCAGCACAGACCUAGUGCUUGAGUUACCUCCUUGGAAAUGUUAAAUACAGACCACCACAUUGCUAGGGUGUGUGUGUGUGUGUGUGUGUGUGUGUGUGUGUGUGCGCGCGCGCGCGCGCGGGCACGCACACACCAAUAGAUUCUGGGUCCUUCCAAGAAGCUUUCCAGAGCAAUCUUUCUCCCCCCUUGCCAGAAACAAUGCAGUAGUAAGGAUAAGCCCCAACAGGAUGAAUAGUGCUUUUCUGGUUGACCAGCCUUCUUGCUUCUCUUCAUACACAGCAGCCCCUGGAUCUCAAGGUUUCUCUGAGCAGAUUCUAGGGCAAUUACUGCAGAUUUUAUAAAAUUACACGGAAUGGUAUGUUUGAAAAGAUAAUUUUCUGUACUCGGUUCUGUGAAAAGUUUCCCAUAAAAGCAGCAACAGAUAAAGGUGCCCGCCCCCAUAAAACUGUUUCAGUAGGAUCUUCGGAUCCCUUUCAGAGUGUGGGGAAGGGAACGGGGAGGAGGACAGGGCUACCAAAAGGAAAAACAAGUCCCCGUGCCUUGAUUUGGCUUUGGUGCCCAGGAAAACAUACUCUGAGGGCACAGCCAAUAUUUGGUUCACUGAGCUUAUCAGCCAAGCCUCGACCUGCGGGGAGCAAAGGGCAGAGCCCAGCACAAAACCUGGGGUGCUGUGUGAGGCAUGCAGGAUGAGGGCUGGGCAGGUCAACAGCUGUCCUGGGCCUCCGGGUCCAAGGCUCCUUGCAAAGAGGCCCUUGGGGAAUGUUUGCUUGCUGUAAGACAACUUUCCUGGAUGCCUGCACCAAAGUUUUCAGAUCCUGAUGCUCUGGCAAAUUUGUGUUUUUAAUACAUACACGGUCCACGUGCAGGUUUUCCUCAGCAUGACACAAACCCCACAAGCCAUAAAGGAAAACAAAAAGGGAUGGAUUUGAUUAAAUAAAAGUCAAAAACUUUUAUGUCCUAAAGAUAACCAUAAUCCAAGCUGAAAGUCAACAGACGGGGAGAAAGCACUCGCACUAUACGUAAUGGGGCUAUGUUUACACCUACAGUAUAAAGAGCUCCCGGAAAUCGAUAAGGAAAAACAUCGAGUCUAAAUGCCCGCCAAAACUGCUCACACCACUCAACCUCACUCAUCAUUUUUUUUAAACGUGAAAACAAGGGUUAGGUGCAUAUGAAGAGAGAAGGGGGCAGAUGCCUUAGCGGAAGGGCCCGGACGAAAAGAGCUAAAAAUGUGAGAUGUAGUCAUCUGUCCGAGGAGACCUCGGGCAGAGCGAGAUCCCUGUCUGGGGCAGGUUUCUAGAUAAUGUUUCAGUGGGAGUUGCAUAGAGAAUGGUAUCGGUUGGCGUUGUGUCUUUUGUAUCAAGCAUUAAACGUGGCUUUGUAGACCUUCCCCCUUCUCUGAGCAGUUCCAGGAUGUCGAUCACACUGUUCUCCACCACCCUCUGUGCUCUGGAAGACUGGGAACAGACGUGUUCGUGGGUCUGCUCUCCAGCUGUGCAAUCUGAGAGCAUGGAGGGGAAGUGGCCGAGCUCAGACCCUCAGCCGUCCUCAGUGAGUGUUACAACUGCUCCGGGGCACCUGCCCUGUCUCCUUGGGGGUCUGUCUGUGCCACGAGGGCUGCGGGCCAGAUGGUUGGAUGGGGGCGAGGAGGAGGAACAAGCAAGCGUUAAAGAAGAGAAAGGUGAGGUGUAAGGAGGGAACACAAACUUUAUAGUCAGGCGGCUUUGGGUUCGAAUCUCACUUCUGCCGCCUCCUGGCUGUAUGCUGUGGAGUACGUCAUGCCAUCCCUUUGAGUGUCAGGCUCCUCUUCCAUAAAAUGGGCACAUGUUCCCCCAUCUCGCCGUUUCCUUGUUGUUAUCUGUCCCACUCAACUGGAUAUAUUUCAAAGACAGCCUUACCCGGCUGUUGCUUAACUGUUUCAGCUCCCCAGACUAAACCACGUGAUUUCAUGGGCUGGUGCUGUGUCUCUGGAGGGGGCAGGGACCCCAGAGGUCAGAGACUGCUGGACUUAUGCCAGGGACCUGUCAUGGUCACUUCUGAACUUCCAGCCCCUGGCCCAUUGCCUUGUACAUGAAAGGCACAAAAUAAUGCCUGCAGGAUGAAUGAAUGAAAUUUAUGGGAGAGAAACCAGGAGUCCGAAGGGUGAGGUGAUAUCCUAAGGGCCAUACAACUCAUUAAUUACCUAGAGGGCUGUGAAGUCUUCUUUCUUUUUUAUCAUGGCCAAAUGAACAGGACAACCUAUAGCCAAUUAUAUUGGCUCCUGAAGUCUCCUGUUUGCUGAGAAAGUCUCAUUUUACACCUGUUUUCCCUUAUAAUAAUGCCCAUCUUCACUUUCAGAAAUGUCCUAUUGUGGGUGAUAAAUUGUCCGUUCUCCCUGUUACGAGGGAGAGUGGAGGGAAGGACUCUGUUUCCCUGACCCCAUCUCCUCCCCCACCCCUCAUUUCUCUUAACUUGUCAGAUACGCAAUUAAAAUGUCAUUCCAUUAGCUCUUCAUUGAAAGCCCCAUGUGAACUGUGCUCGUCCUAAAGGCAGCCUUCCCCCAGCAACACCCGUGAGCGUCCAGGUCAGCGAUCAAGGGUGUUCUCACCACCUGCACAUGCGCCAAGGGGGAUCCUCACGGCUUAACUGCCCUCCACUGUCUCACCAGCGAGGAGCGGUCCAAACGCACUGCCUUUGCCAGGUCUGUACCGAAGCAGCACCCCCUCCCACUCUGGCUAACUAGCGUCUUGCCUUCCUAUUGCUCAGGAAUGAUGGACGGGCACUCAUUCACCACAGCUCCCAGGGGGCUGGCAGCCUCUCCAGAGAAGGCUAGGCAGGCUGAGAUGAGCACUGGGGUCCUGAGGUCCAACCACCUGGAGAAGUGUUGGAUUGAGGGCAGGAGGAGAAGCAUCUAGAACAAAGAGAAAUGUUCCCCCCACCCACCCUAGGGAGAGCAUA